UACGUAGGGUGCAAGCGUUAAUCGGAAUUACUGGGCGUAAAGCGUGCGCAGGCGGUUAUGUAAGACAGGUGUGAAAUCUCCGGGCUCAACCCGGAGCCUGCAAGGGAAACUGCCGUGCUUGAGUGUGGGAGAGGUGAGUGGAAUUCCCGGUGUAGCGGUGAAAUGCGUAGAUAUCGGGGAGGAACACCUGUGGCGAAAAGCGGCUCACUGGACCACAACUGACGCUGAUGCACGAAAAGCUAGGGGAGCAAACAGG
rnacentral:rRNA from 1 species